rnacentral:misc_RNA from 1 species
AAACAAUCAGAAUGACGGUAGAAAAUUGCAGAAGUUUAACAAGGAAUUAAAAUGUUAAUUGCCCAAAAAUUAUUGAGCUUUUGCCAAUACUCGAUUGUGGUUGUGGCCUGUACUUCUGAAAUGACUAAUUUCAUCCCAUGCUUUAGUUAUUGGGUGCAGUUGUGGUCAGUCCACCUAUUCUAAAACCACUUAAUUUCAUUACAUGCAAAAUUAACUUACAAAAAGGUUGAUAAAUUUUGUGGCCUCUAUUAAUGGACCUAUCUUUCUGUUGAUAUAUCCCUCCGUGACGACAAUAUUGGAAGCUGAUUUUCGAAAGAAUUAGAUGGUUUUCAUGGUGCAGACACAACAACUAAAGUAAAUAUGUAUGGG